GAUGAACGCUGGCGGCGUGCCUAAUACAUGCAAGUCGAGCGAACAGACGAGGAGCUUGCUCCUCUGACGUUAGCGGCGGACGGGUGAGUAACACGUGGAUAACCUACCUAUAAGACUGGGAUAACUUCGGGAAACCGGAGCUAAUACCGGAUAAUAUAUUGAACCGCAUGGUUCAAUAGUGAAAGACGGUUUUGCUGUCACUUAUAGAUGGAUCCGCGCCGCAUUAGCUAGUUGGUAAGGUAACGGCUUACCAAGGCAACGAUGCGUAGCCGACCUGAGAGGGUGAUCGGCAACACUGGAACUGGGACACGGUCCAGACUCCUACGGGAGGCAGCAGUAGGGAAUCUUCCGCAAUGGGCGAAAGCCUGACGGAGCAACGCCGCGUGGGUGAUGAAGGUCUUCGGAUCGUAAAACUCUGUUAUUGGGGAAGAAAAAAUGUGUAAGUAACUAUGCACGUCUUGACGGUACCUAAUCAGAAAGCCACGGCUAACUACGUG
rnacentral:rRNA from 1 species